AGACCGCCUGGGGAGUACGGCCGCAAGGUUAAAACUCAAAUGAAUUGACGGGGGCCCGCACAAGCGGUGGAGCAUGUGGUUUAAUUCGAUGCAACGCGAAGAACCUUACCUGGUCUUGACAUCCACAGAACUUUCCAGAGAUGGAUUGGUGCCUUCGGGAACUGUGAGACAGGUGCUGCAUGGCUGUCGUCAGCUCGUGUUGUGAAAUGUUGGGUUAAGUCCCGCAACGAGCGCAACCCUUAUCCUUUGUUGCCAGCGGUUAGGCCGGGAACUCAAAGGAGACUGCCAGUGAUAAACUGGAGGAAGGUGGGGAUGACGUCAAGUCAUCAUGGCCCUUACGACCAGGGCUACACACGUGCUACAAUGGCGCAUACAAAGAGAAGCGACCUCGCGAGAGCAAGCGGACCUCAUAAAGUGCGUCGUAGUCCGGAUUGGAGUCUGCAACUCGACUCCAUGAAGUCGGAAUCGCUAGUAAUCGUGGAUCAGAAUGCCACGGUGAAUACGUUCCCGGGCCUUGUACACACCGCCCGUCACACCAUGGGAGUGGGUUGCAAAAGAAGUAGGUAGCUUAACCUUAGGGAGGGCGCUUACCACUUUGUGAUUCAUGACUGGGGUGAAGUCGUAACAAGGUAACCGUAGGGGAACCUGCGGUUGGAUCACCUCCUUACCUGAAAGAA
rnacentral:rRNA from 1 species